AUUGAACGCUGGCGGCAGGCCUAACACAUGCAAGUCGAGCGGAUGAAGGGAGCUUGCUCCUGGAUUCAGCGGCGGACGGGUGAGUAAUGCCUAGGAAUCUGCCUGGUAGUGGGGGAUAACGUCCGGAAACGGGCGCUAAUACCGCAUACGUCCUGCGGGAGAAAGUGGGGGAUCUUCGGACCUCACGCUAUCAGAUGAGCCUAGGUCGGAUUAGCUAGUUGGUGGGGUAAAGGCCUACCAAGGCGACGAUCCGUAACUGGCCUGAGAGGAUGAUCAGUCACACGGGAACUGAGACACGGUCAAGACUACUAAGGGAGGCAGCAGUGGGGAAUAUUAGACAAUGGGCGAAAGCCUGAUACAGCCAGGCCGCGUGUGUGAAGAAGGUCUUCGGAGUGUAAAGCACUUUAAGUUGGGGGGAAGGGCAGUAAGUUAAUACCUUGCUGUUUUGACGUUACCAACAGAAUAAGCACCGGCUAACUUCGUG
rnacentral:rRNA from 1 species